GCAAGUCGAGCGAUGAAACACCUUCUGGGUGUGAAUUAGCGGCGAACGGCCUUUGAACACGUGAAGAAUCUGCCUUCAACUCUGGGAUAACUCCGGGAAACCGGGGCUAAUACCGGAUAUGAGCCUUGAUCGCAUGAUCGGGGCUGGAAAGUUUUUCGGUUGAAGAUGACUUCGCGGCCUAUCAGCUUGUUGGUGAGGUAAUGGCUCACCAAGGCGACGACGGGUAGCCGGCCUGAGAGGGCGACCGGCCACACUGGGACUGAGACACGGCCCAGACUCCUACGGGAGGCAGCAGUGGGGAAUAUUGGGCAAUGGAGGAAACUCUGACCCAGCGACGCCGCGUGAGGGAUGAAGGCCUUCGGGUUGUAAACCUCUUUCAGUAGGGAAGAAGCGAAAGUGACGGUACCUACAGAAGAAGCACCGGCUAACUAUGUGCCAGCAGCCGCGGUAAUACAUAGGGUGCAAGCGUUGUCCGGAAUUAUUGGGCGUAAAGAGCUCGUAGGUGGUUCGAUACGUCGGAUGUGAAAAUCAGGGGCUCAACCCCUGACCUGCAUCCGAUACGGUCGAGCUAGAGUUUGGUAGGGGAGACUGGAAUUCCUGGUGUAGCGGUGGAAUGCGCAGAUAUCAGGAGGAACACCGAUGGCGAAGGCAGGUCUCUGGGCCAAUACUGACACUGAGGAGCGAAAGCGUGGGGAGCGAACAGGAUUAGAUACCCUGGUAGUCCACGCCGUAAACGGUGGGCGCUAGUUGUGCGAACCUUCCACGGUUUGUGCGACGCAGCUAACGCAUUAAGCGCCCCGCCUGGGGAGUACGAUCGCAAGAUUAAAACUCAAAGGAAUUGACGGGGCCCCGCACAAGCAGCGGAGCAUGCGGCUUAAUUCGACGCAACGCGAAGAACCUUACCAAGGCUUGACAUAUACAGGAAUAUGGCAGAGAUGUCAUAGC
rnacentral:rRNA from 1 species